CUUCUAGAAAUUUAUUUCGGUCAAGGAAUUAUAGAUCGCUGUGAAUUUUGCGAAUAAACGAUUAUGUUGAAAAUCAUUCGCGAUUUCUUCGGGUAUUGGUAUUUUAGAUACCUGCUUGUAACCGAGUUAUAUAUGGUAGAAAAAUGGGAAAGAGCCAUGUUUCAUAUCGUAUUAGGUGUGGUCCUGACCGUUCUUUAUGCAUUUAAUACCUUUGUAGUAAUUGGAGUAAUCAAGAUGUUGCGAAAUUCUGAGUGGCAAUCUGACACACCAUCUGUUUUUUGAUGAAAGUAUAUUCAAAAGUUAUAAGCUGUUUUAUGUUGCAUUGUAAGCUUCAUGUAAUCUGCCAUGAUCAGUUAGAUCGUUUUUAGUCUUCCACAUGAGAGCCAAGCAUUUAUAUGAACUUUUAUAUCACUGAUAAUAAACAUUGAUGAAUAAA
rnacentral:lncRNA from 1 species